GACUAGUAUACAUUUAUACCGUGAAACUGCGAAUGGCUCAUUAAAUCAGUUAUCGUUUAUUUGAUAGUACCUUACUACUUGGAUACCCGUGGUAAUUCUAGAGCUAAUACAUGCUAAAAACCCCGACUUCGGGAGGGGUGUGUUUAUUAGAUAAAAAACCAACGCCCUUCGGGGCUCCUUGGUGAUUCAUGAUAACCUCUCAGAUCGCACGGCCUUGCGCCGGCGACGGUUCAUUCAAAUUUCUGCCCUAUCAACUUUCGAUGGUAAGGUAUUGGCUUACCAUGGUUUCAACGGGUAACGGGGAAUUAGGGUUCGAUUCCGGAGAGUGAGCCUGAGAAACGGCUCACACAUCCAAGGAAGGCAGCAGGCGCGCAAAUUACCCAAUCCCGACACGGGGAGGUAGUGACAAUAAAUACUGAUACAGGGCUCUUUUGGGUCUUGUAAUUGGAAUGAGUACAAUUUAAACCUCUUAACGAGGAACAAUUGGAGGGCAAGUCUGGUGCCAGCAGCCGCGGUAAUUCCAGCUCCAAUAGCGUAUAUUAAAGUUGUUGCAGUUAAAAAGCUCGUAGUUGAAUCUUUGGCCUGGCUGGCGGGUCCGCCUCACCGCGUGCACUUGUCCGGCCGGGCCUUCUCUUCUGGAGAACCGCAUGCCCUUCACUGGGCGUGUUGGGGACCAGGACUUUUACUUUGAAAAAAUUAGAGUGUUCAAAGCAGGCCUUUGCUCGAAUACGUUAGCAUGGAAUAAUAGAAUAGGACGUGCGGUCCUAUUUUGUUGGUUUCUAGGACCGCCGUAAUGAUUAAUAGGGACAGUCGGGGGCAUCAGUAUUCAAUUGUCAGAGGUGAAAUUCUUGGAUUUAUUGAAGACUAACUACUGCGAAAGCAUUUGCCAAGGAUGUUUUCAUUAAUCAGUGAACGAAAGUUAGGGGAUCGAAGACGAUCAGAUACCGUCGUAGUCUUAACCAUAAACUAUGCCGACUAGGGAUCGGGCGGUGUUAUCGAUUUGACCCGCUCGGCACCUUGCGAGAAAUCAAAGUGUUUGGGUCU
rnacentral:rRNA from 2 species